rnacentral:rRNA from 1 species
UUAAGUGACUAAGCGUACAAGGUGGAUGCCUUGGCAAUCAGAGGCGAUGAAGGACGUGCUAAUCUGCGAAAAGCUUGGAUGAGUCGAUAAGAGGCGUUUAAUCCAAGAUGUCCGAAUGGGGAAACCCAGUAGAUGAAGAAUCUACUAUCACUUACUGAAUCCAUAGGUAAGUGAGGCAAACCGGGAGAACUGAAACAUCUAAGUACCCCGAGGAAAAGAAAUCAACCGAGAUUCCGUAAGUAGCGGCGAGCGAACGCGAAGGAGCCUGUUAGUGAUAAUGACAGAGACAGAGGAACAAGCUGGGAAGCUUGGCGAUACAGGGUGAUAGCCCCGUACUCGAAGUCCAGGUCAUGGUACUAAGCUAACGACAAGUAGGGCGGGACACGUGAUAUCCUGUUUGAAGAUGGGGGGACCAUCCUCCAAGGCUAAAUACUCCUGAUUGACCGAUAGUGAACCAGUACUGUGAAGGAAAGGCGAAAAGAACCCCGGUGAGGGGAGUGAAAUAGAACCUGAAACCUUGUACGUACAAGCAGUGGGAGCCCUUUAAGGGUGACUGCGUACCUUUUGUAUAAUGGGUCAGCGACUUAUAUUUUGUAGCGAGGUUAACCGAAUAGGGGAGCCGAAGGGAAACCGAGUCUUAACUGGGCGUCUAGUUGCAAGGUAUAGACCCGAAACCCGGUGAUCUAGCCAUGGGCAGGUUGAAGGUUGGGUAACACUAACUGGAGGACCGAACCGACUAAUGUUGAAAAAUUAGCGGAUGACUUGUGGCUGGGGGUGAAAGGCCAAUCAAACCGGGAGAUAGCUGGUUCUCCCCGAAAGCUAUUUAGGUAGCGCCUCGUGAAUUCAUCUCCGGGGGUAGAGCACUGUUUCGGCAAGGGGGUCAUCCCGACUUACCAACCCGAUGCAAACUGCGAAUACCGGAGAAUGUUAUCACGGGAGACACACGGCGGGUGCUAACGUCCGUCGUGAAGAGGGAAACAACCCAGACCGCCAGCUAAGGUCCCAAAGUCAUGGUUAAGUGGGAAACGAUGUGGGAAGGCCCAGACAGCCAGGAUGUUGGCUUAGAAGCAGCCAUCAUUUAAAGAAAGCGUAAUAGCUCACUGGUCGAGUCGGCCUGCGCGGAAGAUGUAACGGGGCUAAACCAUGCACCGAAGCUGCGGCAGCGACGCUGAUGCGUUGUUGGGUAGGGGAGCGUUCUGUAAGCCUGUGAAGGUGUGCUGUGAGGCAUGCUGGAGGUAUCAGAAGUGCGAAUGCUGACAUAAGUAACGAUAAAGCGGGUGAAAAGCCCGCUCGCCGGAAGACCAAGGGUUCCUGUCCAACGUUAAUCGGGGCAGGGUGAGUCGACCCCUAAGGCGAGGCCGAAAGGCGUAGUCGAUGGGAAACAGGUUAAUAUUCCUGUACUUGGUGUUACUGCGAAGGGGGGACGGAGAAGGCUAUGUUGGCCGGGCGACGGUUGUCCCGGUUUAAGCGUGUAGGCUGGUUUUCCAGGCAAAUCCGGAAAAUCAAGGCUGAGGCGUGAUGACGAGGCACUACGGUGCUGAAGCAACAAAUGCCCUGCUUCCAGGAAAAGCCUCUAAGCAUCAGGUAACAUCAAAUCGUACCCCAAACCGACACAGGUGGUCAGGUAGAGAAUACCAAGGCGCUUGAGAGAACUCGGGUGAAGGAACUAGGCAAAAUGGUGCCGUAACUUCGGGAGAAGGCACGCUGAUAUGUAGGUGAAGUCCCUCGCGGAUGGAGCUGAAAUCAGUCGAAGAUACCAGCUGGCUGCAACUGUUUAUUAAAAACACAGCACUGUGCAAACACGAAAGUGGACGUAUACGGUGUGACGCCUGCCCGGUGCCGGAAGGUUAAUUGAUGGGGUUAGCGCAAGCGAAGCUCUUGAUCGAAGCCCCGGUAAACGGCGGCCGUAACUAUAACGGUCCUAAGGUAGCGAAAUUCCUUGUCGGGUAAGUUCCGACCUG